ACAAGUUUGCUCAAAAUCUCUAAUAUGAAGGUAAGGGUUUUCGUCUUCCUUUCCCGAAAAAGAUAGGUUUUGAAUCAUGGCAAUCAACCUAGAACUUAACUUAUACUGGGAUGUUUGGAUAGGUUGUGAUGAUUCCCAUGGUAAAAGGUCAGUUGCUAAAGGGAUUGCAGACUCAUGGAUCGAUUUAGAAUUUUGGUUUUCCAUAAGGUAAGAGUAAAGAAAAAUAAAUAAAGAAUAUAAAAGAUAAGAAAAGAUAAAAGUAUAGAUACAAGCUAGCAGCAAGACACAGGUUAUCUCAGCAACCGUCUUUCUCCCCGGCAACGGCGCCAGAAAUGCUUGUUGAUAUUUGGAAACGCAAUAAGGAAUUGAUCCGCAAGCGC
rnacentral:lncRNA from 1 species